rnacentral:rRNA from 1 species
CGCCUCUGGAAUAGGAUCAAGAGGUUCUGCCUGCCCGGUGACUUUAAAAGGUUAAACGGCUGCAGUACUCUGACUGUGCAAAGGUAGCAUAAUCAUUAGCCUGUUAAUUGUAGGCUGGCAUCAACGGCUAGACGAUGAAAGCGCUGUCUCUUUUUACUAUGUUUCUAGAAUUUAAUAUUAAGGUGAAGAAACCUUAAUAAAUGAGUGGGACUAGAAGACCCUAUUGAGCUUUACUUCCUACCUUAAAAGUAUUAAGAAUAGGUGGUUGAGUUGGGGCAACUAAAUUUUUUAUAAAACAAAUAUUAAUAAAUAAUUAGAUUAAACUAUGGAUUGAUGACCCAAAAAUGUUUUGAUAAAAAGAAAAAGUUACCUUAGGGAUAACAGCGUAAUUUUUCUUAAGAGUACACAUUGACAGAAAAGUUUGCGACCUCGAUGUUGGAUCAAGAAUUCCUGGAUGUGCAGCCGCCUCCUUGGGUUGGUUUGUUCAACCAUAAAAAUCUUACG